rnacentral:pre_miRNA from 7 species
UUCUUAUACACCAAAAAGAUGUAAGACCCCUUUUCGGGGACCCCCACUCUAGUCUCGGGAGAGAGAGUGCACCCAAAGAAACACUAGAAUCC